GAUGAAGAACGUAGCAAAAUGCGAUACUUGGUGUGAAUUGCAGAAUCCCGUGAACCAUCGAGUUUUUGAACGCAAGUUGCGCCCGAAGCCUUUUGGCCGAGGGCACGUCUGCCUGGGCGUCACGCAUCGCGUCGCCCCCCACAAUUCUCCGUAAAGGGAACAUGUGUUUUGGGGGCGGAUAUUGGUCUCCCGUGCUCAUGGCGUGGUUGGCCGAAAUAGGAGUCCUUUCGAUGGACGCACGAACUAGUGGUGGUCGUAAAAACCCUUGUCUUUUGUUUCGUGCUGUUGCUCGCAAGGUAAACUCUUUAAAAACCCCAAUGUGUCGUCUCUUGACGACGCUUCGACCGCGACCCCAGGUCAGGCGGGACUACCCGCUGAGUUUAAGCAUAUCAUAAGCGGAGGA
rnacentral:misc_RNA from 1 species